rnacentral:rRNA from 1 species
GACGUAUUUUGAGUUGAAGGAGCCGCGGUAUUUUGACCGUGCAAAGGUAGCAUAGUCAUUAGUUCUUUAAUUGUGAUCUGGUAUGAAUGGCUUGACGAGACAUGGGCUGUCUUGGGUGUGAAUUUGUUGUUGAAUUUGGAGUUUAAGUUAAAAUUCUUAGAUGUUUUUAUGGGACGAGAAGACCCUAUAGAGUUUGACAUUUGAUUGCGUAUUUCUUGUUGUUUGUUUUGAAUUUUUGUGCAUCUCUUGUUUUGUUGGGGUGAUGGGAGGAAUUUAUUUAACUCCUCUUUUAUGUGGUAUAUUGAUUUGUAAUUGUUUUGAUCCAUUUAUUUUGAUUGUAAGAUUAAAUUACCUUAGGGAUAACAGCGUAA